AUUGAACGCUGGCGGCAUGCUUUACACAUGCAAGUCGAACGGUAACAGGCCGCAAGGUGCUGACGAGUGGCGAACGGGUGAGUAAUGCAUCGGAACGUGCCCAGUCGUGGGGGAUAACGCAGCGAAAGCUGCGCUAAUACCGCAUACGAUCUGUGGAUGAAAGCGGGGGACCGUAAGGCCUCGCGCGAUUGGAGCGGCCGAUGUCAGAUUAGGUAGUUGGUGGGGUAAAGGCUCACCAAGCCGACGAUCUGUAGCUGGUCUGAGAGGACGACCAGCCACACUGGGACUGAGACACGGCCCAGACUCCUACGGGAGGCAGCAGUGGGGAAUUUUGGACAAUGGGGGCAACCCUGAUCCAGCAAUGCCGCGUGCAGGAAGAAGGCCUUCGGGUUGUAAACUGCUUUUGUACGGAACGAAAAGGCUCUGGUUAAUACCCGGAGCUAAUGACGGUACCGUAAGAAUAAGCACCGGCUAACUACGUGCCAGCCGCCGCGGUAAGAC
rnacentral:rRNA from 1 species